rnacentral:lncRNA from 1 species
CCCAGGCAGGGCUGGAGUAGGGCCGGGCCGCUCCGAGGGAGCAGGGAGGCAGCUGGGCCUGCAGCCAGUCCUCCGCAGACCUGCAGAGGGCCCAUCUGCCUGGACCUGGGCGCCUCCCCCGGAAUCUGCCCACAGCUCUGCUUCUUGCACAGCCGGCGGAUGAGUGGUGCGCGGGCAGGUCCGUGCCUGGGCAGAUGCAGGGCAGGACCGGGGCUGAGAGCUGAGGUCGCCGGACUCACUGCGUGCUUGAGAAACCCCAGGAGUAAAGGCUAAGGCCUCGGAGGCCCCAGUGAAAAGGUUAGUUCUAACCCUAUUAGUAGGAGUACACCCCAAAUCCCAGCGGGAAGCCCUCUGGGGGCCGGAUCUUGCAGCCCACUGCUGCUGAGCAGCAUCUGCCUGCGCUCUUGCCCCAUGAACGUCGCCUGGCCUCACGUCCCUCCCGGGUCCCUCACCUCUGCGGGAGGCCUGGACUUUGGGCCCAGCUCCCAACUCCUCUUCUCCCAUUCAGGGUGAGGGACCCGGGGGGAGCAGAUCGUCUCAGGGACCCCUAGGCCCACAGAGGCCACGGGAUGCAACAGCAAGUGUCUCUGUGUACUGAAGCCUGGCCUGGGGCCCAGGCAGGGCCCCGGGAGCCAGGCCGGGGCGGCCAGAGGACGGAUGAGAAAGGAUGAGGACAAACUGGCCCGUGUCCCCCGUGCGGCCCUGGGUUGGGGGACAGCAGCCGGAUCUGCAUGGGAAGCGUGGGGACUGUGGCCUAGAUAAACCAUUCUGUACGAUCUGAUCAGCCUGAAUACUUGUCACAGCUACGGGAAGCUGAUGAUGACCCAGUCUGUCCGAAGGAGCACACUGACAUUCGGAAAUUAAAUAAAUUAUGAGUUUAGAAAGAAAAGACAAAAGAGAAAACUGUCCGAAUUUCAUAACUUACUAAUAGGGGUAUUUCAAACAAAACAGGGAAAGGUGUCAUAAAGUCUUCACCUACUCGGUGCUGUAUCUGUGGCUUCAUUGGUGGCCUUCCUAAUGGAAAAAUAAGAAGCCCAGUGUUUUCACAGAUGGAUAAAGAGUGCUCUGGAUUCUGGAUUCUGCCUAUGGCAUAAUUGGUUGGUCACUUUAGAAAAUGACUCUGAGAAAAUGAAGAACUAAUGUUUUUGGAAGACUGAAAUGAGCUCAGACAAGAGACAGAAAUGCUUUUUAAAGUUAAUUAUGUUUGCUUUUUACUCUCCCUUGGUGUUCAUUACCUUGGAAUGGAGCCGCACAGGGCAGAAAUAAUUACCAGGUUUUCAGUGCAGGUGGCUGCCUUUUUGCAGGGAGGGGAGGCACCCAAAGCUGUAUCUGUUUCAUACUUUGUACCAUUGGAAAUUAAAAGUUCAGUUUUAAUGAGGCAAGCAGGUACCAGGUAUAAUCCUAAAAUGUGCUCAGGCAUUAUAAUCCACUUAGCAUGACACCUGAGGCUAAAUCAGUGAGAAAAGAAUGCCAUAUGCAUUACUGUCAGAAGCCAUUCGUCUUGCCUGGCUAUGGACUGUAACUUCUCUUGAAAUCAAUAUGCAGGUUCAUGUCCUGCAAAUUUGUACAUGUUCAGAAUCUGCUUGGUUGUGAACUAAUCUGUCUUCUGCUUGGGAAUCUAGGGAAGGAGUAGAGGUUUUGUGUUACUGGGAAGCAAAUCAAAUGUUAGGCUAAGGAAAAUAACAGUUAGCAAAGAAAGACAUACUGGUGAAUGAACAGCAUGCUAAUGGAUGUCCCUGGGGCUGGGUUCUGUUCAAGGCGCGGCUAUUAAACGCGGUUACCAGUGAAUCCCAGGUCGCAGACCCACUGACAUCCACCGGGAGGCUCGGCCUGUUACAGAGCUAGAGUCUGUGCACGCCCUACCGAGGUCCUGAGUCAUGCAGAAGAUGUCGAAUCACCCUGCUACAGACAGGCAGGUCUGCCCACACCCUGUCUAGGUCCCCAGUAACGUGGAACACACACCGAAUCAGCCCGCUGCAGACAGGAAGGUCUGUGCAUGCCCUACCGAGAUCCUGAGUCACGCGGAAGACAUUGAAUCAUCCCACUGCAGACAGGCAGCCACCUGAUUCCACAUUACCAAGGUGCAGAGGACACCAGACCACCAGACCAAGAUUCUGCAAACUCCAGCGUCCCUGAGAGAGCGAGGGGAGGUCACCAGAGUGAGGCCUGGGGGCCUGCAGGGCCCCACUGAAGGAGUUGGUGCAGCCAGGCCCAGGGUCCCAGCAGCUGCCCGAGAACUGUUACAUCUACUGCAUGAAGCUGGCCAGUACCGAGUUAUGCCGAGUUACCAGGCUGGAUUCAAACUCUGGUGUCCUCCUGCCCUGGCCUCCUGAGUACCUGGGACCACAGGUGUUUACCACCUGCUACAGUGUAGAUUAAGAAUGACCCCAACUCUCCUGUGGUCACACAUGGGCCUUUCGGAAGGCCCUUCUGCCAUGCCCUUCUGUGUGGGAGCUUGUCAACCAAACUGCAAAUGUGAGCCAAAAUAAACCUCUCCUCCUUUAAGUUUGUUACCUAGGAAGGAGAAACAUCACCUGAUUUACGAAGCAAGGUGCCAUGUUGUGAACCACCAGAUGGAGACAGUCAUACAGAAAGGAGCCUAGGGUGACCUUCAGCCAACAACCGGGCAAGAAUUCAGUCCCUCAGCUUGGCAGCAUGUAAGGAAUUGAAAGCUGCCAACAGCCUGAGGAAGCUCUUACCUCAAAUGUUCUCACAGUCCCAGUCAAUAUUUCAAUCCAGAUAGAAAUGAGCAGAAGAAAAGCAGAUGGAAGAAAAACAGGAGUGAAAGAAGAAGAAAGAAUGAUAUGGUGAAAAAUAGAAAAAAGGUCUUUUCCCAACAGGUUCAUGCACUGUUCCUCCCUGAGGACUUCAGAGGCAUCUGGACCCCUAAUAUUUCCACGCAGGGAAAGAACACCCAACACCUUCCCUGCUCGGGUGGACCUUCCUCGGUCUCUUCGCUGGUGCCAGGC